rnacentral:lncRNA from 1 species
ACAGAUUGCUCUUCAGUGGCAGUGAGAGGAGACCUAAUGCAGAGGCUGCACAGUGGUGCUGGGAUUCUAUAACCAACAACAAAAGCAACACCCUCAUUACCGACACUCCUGCAGCUCAAACUACUUUGCCUUUGUGCGUUGGAAACCCAACCCAAGCCCAUUUUCCCCACUGGAAUUAUUUGUGAUGAUGUGAAGUUUUUGGAGAUGCAACCAUCCCAGAACAGGCACGCUCAGAUGAGAAGACGUGGGAGACACAGUUCUAGCAAACAGUUCUACCGCUCAGAGCAAAGCCUACGUCACACAGCCUCUAGGGUCUGGGCACAGUGUGGGGACAGGAGGGCUGGCCGCCCUGCCUCUUGAAAGGAAUACGCAGCUCUGCAGGUUCAAGCCACCCAGCUGAAGUCCUCAAACUGGGUAACACGGGCCAAGAUGCCACCUGCACGUGUCCUGCUACAUCACCAUGGAUCUGGCCAAGGAGCCACCACCCCCUCGGAGCACGCAUGCUGGGGUUGUCAAGGAGACCAGUGCACAGGACGGCCGCACCCAGGGCUGGAGACCGGCAGCGCAGGACAGCUGCAUCCAGGGCUGGAAGACAGACUCGAGUUCUGACCCAUCUUUCAAUGGGAGAGAAAGAAUCCAAUCCCCUGCUAGGGCCACAAGGACAUGAUGGGUUUGGAUGCCAUAAGAGAUGAGAACACUCCAAGCUGAAGGCAAGAAGUGAUUACCCUGGUUUUAGGCAGUGGUUGGGGGGUGGAGGUGGAGGGGAACUCACCUAGUCCUUCUUUGAAAGACAGUCAGGCUACGUGCUUUGCAAAGGGUUAGGAGGUGGACUGUGUGGGAAGGCAGGCGAGAGGGAGUUUCUUUUCAUAGCCUGUUUCCAUGGUGUCUCACGGCCCUUGGCAAACCCCAGCUGGGGAGGCUUGGACGGCCAGGAGGCCCCAGGUCCACCCUCCAAGGACUAUCCCCUAGUCCUCUGGGCCCCAAGAGUGACAGAGGCCACAGGCAGGCGGCUACUCUCUCUUGCCUCCCUGGGGGAAGGUGGCAAGAGGCCAGCGAUAAAGGGCAGAGCAGAGAAAGAACAACUCCAGGGGCCAGGGCUGCGGCUCCCUCCCUUCCACGUCCCCUCCUCCCCCUCCUCCCACGAGCCCACCCAAGGGGAAAGUUUUCUCCCUGAAGACCUGCAGGGCUGUCUGCACAGGAGACCCUCUCACGAGAAACACAUUCUUGCCUCCCGCCUCUCCGCCUGGACAACCCAGAUAACCAGAUAAGGGCCUCUUUGAUUUCCCGUGUGUUUACACAAGCUGUGGCCCCAAGUCUUGGAAAGAAUCAACCACCGCCAGGCAAGUCAGGACGCCUCCAGGUGGGGUGAGGGGAGACGGCCGCCUUACCUGCUCCUGGGAAUUCAUCACUCGAAGCUUCAUCUGCUUCAGGUAGGUGGAGGUGAGGGGCAUGUUGUAAUCAAUAAUCCCAGAGACCAGUGGAGAUGGAGGCUCGUUUUCUGGCAGAAAGAACAAAAGGAAAGCCCUUUCAGUCUGUGCUGCGGGCCUGUUGCCCACAUGGAGCAUUUAACAGAGCCCGUGGAAGAGGAAGCCACCUUGGAGGAGAAGGGACAGGUCAGAGGUCGCAGACUCUGUGGCUCACCCACAUCUGGCCCAGAGAUGUGGACUGCAUGGUGUCAAAAAUAUUUUUUUUUUAUUAAAUGCCAGUGUUCUAUUUAGAGAUUUCACACGUUAAAAAACAAUGAGGCCGGGCGUGCUGGCUCAUGCCUGUAAUUCCAGCACUUUGGGAGGCCAAGGCAGGAGGAUCCCUUGAGCCCCAGGAGGGGACACAGGCCCCAGGAGUUCGAGACCAGCCUGGGCAACACAGGGAGAUCUCGUCUUUACAAAUAAUAAAAUAAAUUAGCCAGACGUGGUGGUGUGUGCCUGUAGUCCUAGCUACAUAGGAGGCUGAAGUGGGAGGAUCGCUUGAGGCCAGGUGGUCAAGGCUGCAGUCUGCAGUGAGCUGUGAUGGCACCACUGCACUCCAGCCUCAGCAACAGAGUGAGAAUCUAUCUCUAAAAAACAAACAAAAAAACCCAGCAAACCCACCCCCACAACACACACACACGUUUAUAGGAAUUUUUGGCUUCUUUGAAGAACAUAAGGUCUGGCCACAUGGGGCCCCCACUC